GGGAGUCCUAUAUGGAAAUACUUUUUGGAAAAAAGGAAAAUUCUCCACUCUCCUAACUCCUAACGGCAAGUGACGUAUCAUUUUUUUUUAAUAUAACAGCAAACAAAAAUAGCUGUUGACCGAAAAGUUAUCUAUUUUCUCUCUUUUUUACACCUAUUUCAAGUGCUUAUGGUAUUUCAAGUGCUCAUGGGUAAUAGCUGAGCCAGUCGCUAUGCGACUUGGUUUUUGUGGUCAUCGCGCGGGUAUCCUGUGGUGUCACAAUCCAUCUAUCCGUCCAUCCAUCCAGUCAAUCGUGCAACUCCCAGGCCCACUCGGUCUCACAAGGGGAAUGUGUUUUUUUGCCUCCUAUCUUAACUAGAAAAUAGUAUUUAAUGAGAAAGAUGAGGAUUUAAAUAGGCUGAUUGUGGUCGAGGGCUAAACAAGUUUUUGAGGAACCGUUUCGUCUGGAAGAAACUAAUAAGCAGCUAAAAAGAGAACUUCAGACUCAACACUGUAUUCUCAUAAAUGCGUCACGAAGCAAAAUCAAAGCAAAAAGGUAAUGUUAUCAUAUUAUUAUUUAACAGGCAAUUAAACUGAAAACUUACACCAAAACAAAACGUUUUCUGACCGUAGCCUUAACAUACUUAAAUUGUUCACACAAUUUGUGAACACAAUUGUGUUGUCAAAAGUUAUACUAAAAUUCUUCCUUCUACAAAUAAAGGCUUAUAUUGCUAAGGUAGGGAGAGUUUAACGGCAAAAAAAUGCUCAGUUGUAUUGGAUAAAUAAUCGAUUUAGAACUAUAUCCGGCAAUUUAUCACAUAGUGGAAAGCGAAUGUUUUCGAGAACAACAUAUAAGUAAGCUUAAUAUUUCGCAAUCAGUAAGGCAUCUAAAAAUAAUUUUCUUUCUCUAUAGAUUUGAUCAUAUUUUUAAGAUUCUAGAGUUCGAAAAUGUGCCUUUAUCACUCUAUAAAAAUCUUAAUUGAGAUUUACUGUGUCUGUUUUGGUUGAUACAUAUAAAUUUGUUUUUGUUUCUGUCUCUUUUAUACCAAACUGUUAUGAGAUAAAAAGUGCUUGUGUAAACACUGUUGGAGACUUGAAUAGUUUAAUACAAUUCUUGCCAAGUGUUAGGGUUCGAGGCUGUAGCUAAGAAGUUUGUUACUCUGAGUGUUUCAAAAUAUCCGCACUCAAACAGAACCAAAACCAACUGCCAUGAACUUACUUGUCCACGCGAUAAACUAGCUUACGCCAUUUUCUGCACGUGCUCUAUUUUAAAUUGUAACGUUCUUACGCUUACAUAGAAUUACAGCCUUGAACAAACUAAUAAUACACUAAUAAUAAUUUAACAAUACACAAUAAUAAAAAUAAUUGUCCAGACCAACAGGGUCCAAAGUCAGUUUUUAAUGAUUCUUAAACACAUAUCACUACACUUGCCUAGGGCCAAGUUACGUGCUUAGUAAUUACAUGAUUUAGCUGGAAUAGCUAUGCAAUGACAAGGAUAUCUUGGUCCCAGGGAAGGGACUCCACUAUAAUCAGAUGGGGGUUAUUGUUGAUGGGAGAGCAAAGUGGGUGUGGUCAGCACCUAAGAGAUAGCAAAUCGGGUGGGGUAGAAGGAAUUUUUUAACCCUUAGAGAUAGCAGAAUCAAAAACAACUCCCCACCCCAGGUAGCUAUGAAAUGACAAGGAUACCUUUUUUUCAGGUGAUUAAAGGAAGGACUAAAGUAUAGCCGUCAUUAUAGGCUGGCUGAAAUGAAAGCAGACGUAAAUAAACGUUUUUCAUAUUCCUUUUUUGCUUAGUAUAAUUAUAUUCAAUCAACACACAUUCUUUCCCUAUAGCCAACAUAAUCUGCUCUUGCUCUGCUGAUACUUCCCUAAAGUCUGUGUGGAUAUAAGUCUUUAACCGUCAACAAAAUUAUUGACCAUGUUAUGAUUUCUGAUGCUUGAAGACCAGGUCUUCUGUACUUACUACAAAGUUACUUACUGCAACUGUAAUUAACUGCAAACUGAUUGCAUUAUUCUCAUGUGCAUAGGUAACAACAAUAAAUACUAUUUGCAUAUAUAACAAAAUGCUGGCUACACUGUUAUUAGCAAAUGUAGUCUUUUUUACUUGUAACUUUUCUAUGCAUUUGCUCAAAUGACUUGGCCCUCUACAUAACUGCUUAUUAUUCAUGAACAAGAGAGACUCAUAUGUAAUAAUGGCAGGGGAGAGGGCUUUGAAUAUUAAAAAUAUUUGGUUGUUUGUUAUUAGAUGGAAGAUGUUUUUAAUACAGGAUAAAAGAGAAAGGAUGGUGUAUAUUAAAAGGAUUAUUAGAUUUAUCAAAGAUUUUUAGUUUGAUACCGAUGAAUAUAAGAUUAGUAAAAAUGUAUCAAAGGGAUUAGUAUAUAUGAGGUGGUGUAGAAUUGAAGAUCAGGUAUUUUAGGGUGUUGAAAGUUUCAACCUAGGUGUUAUGGGGUAUGUAAUUUUGGACUCUUCAAGGCCCCAUAGUGCAUAGCCGUAGCAGGCCUAGAAUUAUUGGGGGACACAAUACAUAAACAUUAAGAAAACAAUGGGGGGACACAGCCACGCCCCUACUGGUCAUUUCCUUAUAAUUUUUGACAAUUUUGGGGUUGAACGUGCCCCCAGUGCCCCACCCCCUGCUACGGCCCUGUAGUAUGAUAAUAGAUUUGAAUAGAUUGCAAAGAACACUAAAAAGGACAUGAAAACGUCUGUAAUAUCAUCUUUUUAAGCACUCUUUACAAAUCUAUAAUCAUACUACUUCACCUAUUACCAAGUGCAACCAUAUCCAGCCACAGCACCUCGGUUCAUACCACCAUAUUUAUAGCCUAACAUUACCCCUUGCUUCAAGGUAGCCAAAAUUAUGCUUAGCACCAUCUGCUGUAAUACUGAAUGCCUAAACUCGGUCAUGUUUUUUUUUUCAGGAGAGUUUUAAAGCUAUAUAUAAUAACAACUUUUCUCUUAUUUAUUCAAGGGGCACAUAAACUUGAGGGUCCCUUUUUCUGAAAAAAAAUAUUUGUAGAUUAUCUGAAGUAUACUAAAAAAUGAAACAUGACAUAAAUAAAUAGGGCCCAAUUUAGCAAGAUCUUAUUAUAUGGCAAAUUAUAAAUAUAUUUUCUGUAUCAGUUGUCUAUCGAGUACAACUCUACGUAAGAGUUCAAAUAAUCCCUCUUUUUAUGCAAAUAGUAUCCUGAGUAAUGUCAAUCAAAAUUACUAAUAGUGUCAUUGUUCUGGGUAUUCUCUAGGGGAGAAUGGGAGGAAAUAAUUUUAUAAUAAUAGGAAAAGUUAUAAGCCAUUUAUUUUUAUGCAUUUAGAUAGGGUUGAUCUUAGGGAGAUGGGAUACCUGAAGCAAAAUCAAAGUGUAGUAUCCUGUUGUUAUGUGCCUCUUGAAGUUUGGUCUUUGUCGGGGUUGGGGGAGGGGUGUUGAUGGGGACAUACCCCUAGUUUAGGGUGGGAAAACAUUGCUGGCUCCGCUUUUAGGCCGUGCCUAAAUUUAUAUAUUAGUUAUUUGGGUGGUAAAUAAACUAAAGCAAUGCAAGAACCAUACAGUAGUUACAUUUAAGGGAUAGUCGUAUGUUUUUUUUCUGAAGUUGGAAAGAAUAUUCUUUGGGUCAUUUUUGGCGUAGAGAACGGCUAUUUGGCAAUCGCCUAUGCCGUUUGCACUAUCAAUUAAAAUAGGUGUAACAAACAAUCUGUUUUGAGAACUGUCGUUUUUCUAGCUAGCUCGGUCAACCCUUUCUCAAGACAUUGCAUAUUAUUUGGGAGUUCGCUUCGAUUAUACAAUCCAUAACAAUCAGAGUGGCUGUCGUUUUUAUUAUAAAUAUAAAUGGUUUAAAGAGCGCCUGAGGCGAGCGCGCGGGAGACCUGUGAACGUUAGUAUACUCAACUCCUGCAAGCGAGGGAGUUCUUGACGUACGAACGAUUGAGCGGAAUAUGGUAUGUAAUGUUCUUAAGGAAUUGACCGAGCGAACUAGAAUAACGACAUUCAACACAAGAUUGAUUGAUAUUUCUUUUUUAUCAUGCUAAAAUUUCUUGUGUCGAGACUUUUAAUGUAAACAUGAAAGAAUUAGUGUUUACUUCGCUUUCGAUGGCCAAUAUAUUGAAAAAUAGGCCCAGAUCAUGGCGUUUUAGUAUAUCACAGGUUCAAAAGAUGUAAUUGUCAGACACUUUAAUCCUUGGAUUUUUAUUUUACUUAAUGCAACACGUAAAAACCGAUUUUAUCCAAGAAAAUAAAAACACAAACACCCACAUAAUCAAGGCGUAUAAAGGGUGAGUGAUGUAAUUUGCUGCCUUAUUACAACCUCAUUGCGUACAUUAAAUAAUAUUUACAUAAUAAAUAUAUUAACACAAUCAAAACCAUAUCCCAACUCCUCCACUACCCUUGAUGAGUUUCUCUAAAAUCCCAGUAUAAGCAAACAAAAGGUCAGCGGUGAACUUUCGUGGUUUCACGUGACGUGCUAGACACCGGCACCCCCCAUUGCCUGCUUCAUCGCCAUCUUCCGCGCCGCCUUCAUUGCUCUUUCUACAAAGUUAAUGUUUUCUUUUAGUACGACCUCCUUUUAUAUUGAUUGUAUCAAGGGAAGGGGGUGGGGGUAAGGGGAGGGGAGGGGAUUGCUGGUCCGCCUACUUGUUUUGUUUCUUAGAGUUCAAAACAAAAGCUAAGAAAAAGUUCUUGACGAACAAAUCACGCCAAGGCAAGUACAGCUUGAGAAUGCGCAUGAGUGUGGAAGAAAGUGGGUGCAGUCUUAUGGAAUUGACUAUUUUAGGAGCGCGCGCAAGCUUAAGGGUAAUACACGAUAUUGUUUUCGAAAAUUAAUGUGCAACCUUGGAUAUAUUGCAUUUAUUAUUUUAAAAAAAAUUAACUAAUUCUUCUCUUCUGAUCAAUUCUGUCUGCUUUUUAUUUUUACUAUGAUAACAAUACCUUGUUUUGGACUUUUAAGCCCCUUCAUGUAAUACAAUAAACAGAUAAAAGGAAGAGAAACCCUAACAAUACCUUCCAAGGUUCCUUUACCCUUCCCUUUCUCUUUGCCGCCAUCUUUCUUGCUUUUCCUGCAGAAGGGAUGAGAAAAAGAUUAGCCGUUUCCACUGAUCGUCAGACCUUUUUAGGCUGCAUAGCGGCGGGAGGGGAGGGGUCCGUGGGCGAGAGAAAAAAUCGAAACGAGCCACGGACCCCUUCCCUCUCCCCUUUUGCGCCGCUGCACAGUCCAGAGGAUGGAAGGGCAAUUAAAGCAAGAAAAAAAGAAAGGCUAAAAUUGGGAAAGCAAGAUUCAAGGGCUUCACAUUCCCGAAUGGAAUAUACCUUCCUCACUGAAAUCUUCGCGACACCAUCAAGCGAUAUACCACUAGUGGACGUUAAAGCGAUAAGAAUAGCCAUCUCCCCACUCUCAAUACUCGGAAAUCAACUCUUGACAUGUAAAAACACUAUUUUUUGUAGCACUCGGAUUAAUAACCUCAAAAAUAUCAAGUGUUUAAUAAAGAAGGCCAAACACUCCGCCGUACGCCACUACACUAAACCCACGACACGUUAAGUAUGUACUUCCAUUGGGUAACUUUAAGCGACUUGAGCAACUAGGAUAUUUUCAAUCAAAUGCUGUUAAUAAAGUAUGGGACUUUA